CCAGCUCCAAUAGCGUAUACUAAAGUUGUUGCAGUUAAAAAGCUCGUAGUUGGAUUUCUGGUUGUGGCAAACGGUCCGCCCUAAACAGGGUGUGUGCUUAUUGCCUCUUCCAUCCUUGAGGACAACGUGUCUGUCAUUAACUUGUCGGGCACGGUAUCCUCGUCAUUUACUGUGAGCAAAAUAGAGUGUUCAAAGCAGGCAUGUCCGUUGAAUAUAUUAGCAUGGAAUAAUAAGAUAGGACCUUGGUCUAUUUUAUUGGUUAGCAUUCCAAGGUAAUGAUUAAUAGGGAUAGUUGGGGGUAUUCGUAUUCAAUUGUCAGAGGUGAAAUUCUUGGAUUUAUGGAAGACGAACUACUGCGAAAGCAUUUACCAAAUAUGUUUUCA
rnacentral:rRNA from 1 species